UACGUAGGUGGCAAGCGUUGUCCGGAUUUACUGGGCGUAAAGGGCGUGCAGGCGGUCUGUUAAGUGCAGGGUGAAAGCUCCCGGCUCAACUGGGAGAGGUCCUUGCAUACUGGCGGACUUGAGGGGGGUAGAGGAGACUGGAAUUCCUGGUGUAGCGGUGAAAUGCGCAGAUAUCAGGAGGAACACCGGUGGCGAAGGCGGGUCUCUGGGCCGAUACUGACGCUGAGGAGCGAAAGCGUGGGGAGCGAACAGG
rnacentral:rRNA from 1 species